rnacentral:rRNA from 1 species
AUGCAGUCGAGGGGUAUUGGUUUUCGGACCAAGAGACCGGCGCACGGGUGCGUAACGCGUAUGCAAUCUACCUUUUACAGAGGGAUAGCCCAGAGAAAUUUGGAUUAAUACCUCAUAGUAUUAUUGAAUGGCAUCAUUUAAUAAUUAAAGUCACAACGGUAAAAGAUGAGCAUGCGUCCCAUUAGCUUGUUGGUAAGGUAACGGCUUACCAAGGCAACGAUGGGUAGGGGUCCUGAGAGGGAGAUCCCCCACACUGGUACUGAGACACGGACCAGACUCCUACGGGAGGCGGCAGUGAGGAAUAUUGGUCAAUGGGCGCAAGCCUGAACCAGCCAUGCCGCGUGCAGGAUGAAGCAUCUAUGGUGUGUAAACUGCUUUUGUACGAGAAGAAACACUCCUACGUGUAGGAGCUUGACGGUAUCGUAAGAAUAAGGACCGGCUAACUCCGUGCCAGCAGCCGCGGUAAUACGGAGGGUCCAAGCGUUAUCCGGAAUCAUUGGGUUUAAAGGGUCCGUAGGCGGCUUAGUAAGUCAGUGGUGAAAGCCCAUCGCUCAACGGUGGAACGGCCAUUGAUACUGCUAAACUUGAAUUAUUGUGAAGUAACUAGAAUAUGUAGUGUAGCGGUGAAAUGCUUAGAGAUUACAUGGAAUACCAAUUGCGAAGGCAGGUUACUAACAAUAUAUUGACGCUGAUGGACGAAAGCGUGAGUAGCGAACAGGAUUAGAUACCCUGGUAGUCCACGCCGUANACGAUGGAUACUAGCUGUUCGGAGCAAUCUGAGUGGCUAAGCGAAAGUGAUAAGUAUCCCACCUGGGGAGUACGUUCGCAAGAAU